rnacentral:rRNA from 1 species
AACGAACGCUGGCGGCAUGCCUAACACAUGCAAGUCGAACGAGACCUUCGGGUCUAGUGGCGCACGGGUGCGUAACGCGUGGGAACCUGCCCUUAGGUUCGGAAUAACUCCCCGAAAGGGGUGCUAAUACCGGAUAAUGCCUUCGGACCAAAGAUUUAUCGCCUUUGGAUGGGCCCGCGUUGGAUUAGCUAGUUGGUAGGGUAAAAGCCUACCAAGGCGACGAUCCAUAGCUGGUCUGAGAGGAUGAUCAGCCACACUGGGACUGAGACACGGCCCAGACUCCUACGGGAGGCAGCAGUGGGGAAUAUUGGAAAAUGGGCGGAAGCCUGAUCCAGCAAUGCCGCGUGAGUGAUGAAGGCCUUAGGGUUGUAAAGCUCUUUUACCCGGGAUGAUAAUGACAGUACCGGGAGAAUAAGCUCCGGCUAACUCCGUG